rnacentral:tRNA from 1 species
GGUGGAGCUGGGCUGUGGAGCCCGACCCGGCGGUAAACCGGGAGCCCCUGCGGGCACAGGUGGUUCGACUCCACCCUCCACCAC